UACGUAGGGGGCUAGCGUUGUCCGGAAUCAUUGGGCGUAAAGAGCGCGUAGGCGGCUAGAUAAGUCCGGUGUGAAAGUCACAGGCUCACCCUGUGAAUGCCGCUGGAAACUGUCUGGCUAGAGUCCGGAAGGGGCGAGUGGAAUUCCUGGUGUAGCGGUGAAAUGCGCAGAUAUCAGGAGGAACACCAAUGGCGAAGGCAGCUCGCUGGGACGGUACUGACGCUGAGGCGCGAAAGCGUGGGGAGCAAACAGG
rnacentral:rRNA from 1 species